UUGCCCGAGGGGCGCUGCACCGGCGCGGCGGCGGAAUCCGAUGGAUCCCGCCCGCGCCGCCAGGCUCGGGAUUCCUUCUUCAAACGGCGCCCAUCGCCG
rnacentral:ncRNA from 2 species